rnacentral:lncRNA from 1 species
ACCCUAGACGCACUUUUUGACCCCUAUAUAAACAGACCCUGACGUCAGUUUUCAAAGACCAAUCUAUUCAAGCCUUCUCUCCUUCUUCAAUUAGAACUUGCUUAGUUCCUCGCUGCUCCAAUGGUCGAAGAGUUCCACGACGAUUGGGAAGUCGUCCCCUACGACCUCAACAAGAAGCCUAAGGAAGACCCGACACCCGUGCUCUCGUCCCGGCCAACACAGAGCGAUAGCUAGUAGCCAUGCCAUUACGCCAGUGCAGCUCCACCCAAUCCUACCAUGCUCAACCAGUUCUCACUGCACCACCGCAGCCCCUACUUCUCAAGGGAGCGUCACCCAAGAAGGAGGCCACCAUCAAGGUGCCAGCCGACACAAGGAUCCUGCCACCCAGACCUAAUGAGAGGGUCGUUGGAGUCAAGACCAACCGGAGCGGCGAGAUCAGCAGCAUCCACUACACUAUGGAGGAGGAGAGACCUUACUUUGAAGGGAUUAGAGCAGCCAAAGUCCGUUUCAUCCCUCCAAAGGCAGCCCGAAGCACGCUCUCAACGCUCUUGAGACACCUCCUAAGCGUCGCAAGACUAUAGUAGAUAUUGAUGAGGACGCUCGAAGGCUAGACAGGAUCAUCAUAGAACUCCAGUCCUCGGUUAACUCUAUCACUAGGUGGCUCUCUAACCAGAACACCAUUAUACUAGGUCUUAGGCAUGAUCUUGCUAGUGCCAAUAAGAAGAUCAGGGAGUUAGAACGCCGCUAAGUUAUCUAGAUUAGAUCUUGAGGCAAUGCAUCUUAGUUAUUUAUCUUUAAAUUCGGUUUAGAUCUAUUAUUAGCUUCAGUUCAUUACAAGUUAGUUGUAAUAAAUGCCUCAAGAUUAAUAAAGAGUAUUAUUAUUAUUAUUAUUAUUAUUAUUAUUAUUAUUAUUAUUAUUAUUAUUAUUAUUAUUAUUAUUAUUAUGUCUUGUGUGUCUCUACGUUAUUUUUUAUGCAAGAAAGCAGAAAACAAGUAUGGGAGAGAUCCCUCGACAUGCCAAAUACACUUCGACUACACCACUCCACGAUUCAGGUACAUACUCUGCACACUUUACAGAUACAUAUCUUGGAUUAUGCAGAAUAUUGUCUCUCAUAUGAUAAAUUAAAAAGAUUAAAAAUGUUUCUAAUCAUGAUUAAUCUCACUCUGUGAUAUUUCCUAAAACCUACAAUUAUUGAAAAAAUCAUUUAAAAAAAACCUGUGUUACUUAAGUCAUUGUGGAAUGUGAGAUGGUAGAGUAUGAGUAUCUUAUUCUUGAUAUCAUUGUUGCUUGGAGAAUUUAUUAAAAAAUUCUAGCUACCAUCUUCAGUGUUUUAUAUGCCUGAUAAACCUGAAAAUAUUAACAUGAUAAUUAUAAAAGCUAUCUACUCUGUAUUGAGUUUGUUCAAAAUGAGUUAGACCCUUGUUGAGAGAUUUAUCAUGCUCCUAAGAUCAAGACAUUUAUUCAGAAAGAUUCACUCUUCUGAAGUAUUAUUGCGUUAGAGGCAUGGGCUAUGCAAAAAUAAAGAUAUUUUGAGAAAAUAAAAAGGAGCAAGUGCUCGAUAACCUCGCAGAAAAAAAGGACAAGUGUCCGACAGUAGUAUUAGGGGUACCUAGGUAUCCACCUAAGAAAAAAAAGAAAAAGAGAGAAAAGAAGAAAAUGAUAGCCCAUGGUCCCUCUAAUAAGCAAUAUGCCAGUAAGAGUUGACAAGUUUUUAAUUUUCAAAAUCUUUGAUCUAAGAGUAUGGCAUUCUUCUCCUCGGAUCCCAUUUUGAUCAGGCAAUAAAUGCAAGGUAAGUAUGCUUGAGAAUUUUUGCAAAUUAAAACAGCCUCAGUGAGAUAUACAAAAGAUAAUGAGUGACCUGAGAGAACCUAUGAGGAUAAAGGUAUGCUAAAUUUCUUUUCAAAAAUAUACAAAAACUCCAAGUAACAGGAUUGAGAAGAAAGGAUCUCUACUCUUGACCAUAUACUUCCCUAACUACAGUACGUAGUGGAUUUUUACAACACCCUGCAGAUAUGAAGAGAAUGCUUUACAAUGUUUUAACUCCAGAUAUUUUUCUUAACAAUCCUUUUCUCGAGGACGAGUAAAAGCCUAAGUAUGGGGGUGUUUGUUGACGGUUCUUAAGUAUCAAUUUUAAUUAUCAAAUAAACAAGAGAAAGGACCAAUAUACAAACAACACCUAGAAUUAGGGUUUGAUCUGACAAAAUUCCACGAGUUUUGUUGUUUAUCUGUUUCUGUAGGAGGUUAUCAGGAAAUAAGGAAGAAAGGCCCACAUGUCGGGAUUGCAUAGAGAUAUUAACGCACCAUGCAAUUUUCUACCAUCUAGAAGACUCCAGAAGCCACGAGAACAAAUGGGAAGGCGAUCGGGCCCGGGGGCAGGGCGCCCGCCCUCCCCCCUAUGGCGCCCGUCCUGGAGUUGUACCCAAUCACAUCCAACUUCAUGGAUCAUGCUCCACCGACCUAAAGGGUCAAGGACAACCGUUCAAUCAAUGUCGGUUUGAUCCGACGGCCCAUGUUCACCUGAGGGGACUAUAUAAGCAGACCCCUGGCCUCUGGAGGAGAACAAGUUCAUCAUAUAGUUGAGAGGUGCCCUCGAAGCAUAACCUCUCCUCUAAAUAGACUUAGGGCUUAGCAUCUAAUGUGAGUAGACUAGUUCUACUAGAUUGAGAUAGAUAGAGUGGAGGUGUAGAUUAGAGGAAGCCCGUCCUGUCGGUGUCUACUCCGAGGUUGUACC